rnacentral:rRNA from 1 species
CUUUCGUCCCAUCGGAAAGAGGUUUACAACUCUAAGGCAGUCCUCCCUCAGACGGUGACUCUGCGUCCCAAUUCGCGCAUUGAGCAAGAUUCCCCAGGGGAGCCUCCCGAGGAGUCUGGGCCGUGUUUCAGUCCCAGUGUGAUGGAUCAUCCUUUCAGACCAGUCAAUCCUUUUUGCCCUGGUAGGCCUUGACCCCACCACCAAGCUGAUGA